rnacentral:misc_RNA from 1 species
UUAAGUUCAGCGGGUAUCCCUACCUGAUCCGAGGUCAAAGGUUGAAAAAAAGGCUUGCUGGACGCUGACCUUGGCUGGCGAAGAGCGCGACUUGUGCUGCGCUCCGAAACCAGUAGGCCGGCUGCCAAUGACUUUAAGGCGAGUCUCCAGCGAACUGGAGACAAAAGACGCCCAACACCAAGCAAAGCUUGAGGGUACAAAUGACGCUCGAACAGGCAUGCCCUUUGGAAUACCAAAGGGCGCAAUGUGCGUUCAAAGAUUCGAUGAUUCACUGAAUUCUGCAAUUCACACUACGUAUCGCAUUUCGCUGCGUUCUUCAUCGAUGCCAGAACCAAGAGAUCCGUUGUUGAAAGUUGUAAUUAAUUACGUUGUUACUGACGCUGAUUGCUAUUGCAAAAGGUUUGUGGUUGGUCCUGAGGGCGGGCGAGCCCACCCAGGAAACAAGAAGUACGCAAAAGACACGGGUGAAUAAUUCAGCAGGGCCGGCCCCGCCGCGCACGCCGUGAAGCAGUGCCCAGCGGGGGGUGUCCAGCCCGCCUUGUUAUUGUGUAAUGAUCCCUCCGCAGGUUCACCUACGGAGACCUUGUUACGACUU